rnacentral:lncRNA from 1 species
GGGCCACCCCACCUCUGUGGAGAAGCUACUUCAACCCACUCCUGAUUCUCUGAACUCUGAUUGUGAAGGGAUUCACUACAUUCAACUCCAGCUUCUAACUUUGUUCCCAACCACUGUCCCAAAAAUUGAUGAUCUCAAGUCUCUUUUCAAGGAAUGACAAAAUUUAGAGCUCUUUAUUCUUUUCGUAGAAGCAUGGAUUUCUUCAGCCAGUGUUCUCCUGGUGUUUGAGUUUAUGGAAAGUAUAAGCAGGAGAUAGGGUAGUGUGGUUUAUUCUGCUGUGUAUCCUGAGCAAAGACAACUGUGCAAAGUUACAUCUGAAAAUGAGCUGGGGUGGGGUGGGGUGGGGUGAUUGUCUGUUGCCUGAUAACCAAAGGCAACAGCAAGUUCCAGGAAUGAAGGUUGGGCUUGGUUUCAAUUUCAUCAUUAAUAGAACAGAUGGUUGCCUUUGAGCCCUGAACCAAAGACUCAUUGCAACCGUGGGUGUUGAGAGCAGGUCUCUACCAACAUACAGCAUGAGGCAGCCCACAUCUACCCUUGAGGAUUGAUGUCACACACUAUGGGGUCUUUGUUUAAACCUGUCUCCCUAGAAUGGUAGUUUUCUGUGGAUUAGCUUUCUGUAUUUGUAUAAAAUUAUUCUAAAAUUUAAAGAGAAAAGUGAUGAGAUAAAAAUAUUGCAGGUCUUCUGCUGGUAUUUCAACCUUUCAGAUCUAAACACUCUGAAGUAGACAGUCUUUCUGAAUUGAGGAUAUGAAGACUGGCUGUAUACAGGCUGGGGCCAGGUACAUUCUGUAGCCCUGUAGUGAGUUGCAUUUUCCUGAUUUUUAUCUCUAGUAAGACUUCACUGAAAGUCAAAUGAAAGCAGAGAUUAUAGUUUUGCUGAUUUUCAUAUUUUUUAGUCACAAAAUCCCUUGUUAUCUAUAUUUUCUGAGUUUCUGUGGUUUUCUAGAAAACAUGGGUUUUGAAGUGAAUUUUUCCCCAAAUAUAAACUUCAGUACUUUUCUAAAAUUAAAAUAGAGGAGGAAAAAUGGAUUUUUACAAUCAGUUUUUCUUCCACUUAAUUAAUAAUUGAAGUGAUUCUGUAAUAAACUUCAAAGUCUAAGGUAGACUUGGUUUUCCCAUAUGAGAUCUUGGUAAAUAUUAGUUUUUAAAUGGUGCCGUUUAAAAUUAACAUUUAUUAGAUGUCAUCAAAUUCUUAGCAUAUAUUGAUCAUGGCAUUGCUGAGACUCCACAACUUUUUAAAGCACCCAAAUCCAUGUAUUCAGUAUUAUGACAGCUGCCUGCAGGUACAAUAACAUGUGUUAGCCAAGUGUGUCCUUUCUAGAGUCUCAGUCCAGUAGAGACUUGAGCUGUCUGUUGCUUUUGUCCUCAGAAUAAGUUUCCCAUAAAUCUCAUCUAAAAAGCAUGGUUCAAAUGCCUUUGUUCCUUUUUAUGAGAAGUAAGUCAUAAGGCACAGUUUUGCCUCCAUUAGAAUUUGUGCACGUGGAUUCAACAGCCCUUACUGACUGGCCAGACUGAAUGAGUAUUUGUUUCUUAGAAUCUGAAGUGAAGCUUUGUCCAGGUCUGGUAGGCAGUGAGAUUUAUCUGAGGCAUAAUUCUUGUUGCU